CUAAACCCGACAAAAGUGCUUAUUUUCCAAAAGCUAUUUUUUUCUCUCAUCUUCCUCACAUAACAACAACAAUACACUCAAAUUCUUCAUCUAGUUUUUCAGAAAAAAUUGAUAAAACAAACAACCAACAAUCAGAUUCCGUUUUUGACUUGGAAUUGUUUCAAUUUCGGUUUCGCGGUUCUAUUUGAGCUUCACGGCUAUGUUUGGUAUUCGCGAAGGUUUUUUGUUCAGAAACCAGUUCUGUUUUGCUUCGAGUUUGGAGGUUUCGACUCAGUGCGGAGUUUGAAUUCGAGCGGAGCUUUUUCAAGGUUUUUGGGAUGGACAAGAAAUACUGGUUCAUUCCUGCUUAUUCAGAAGAAGAUAUACGAAGGAUGCCGACUCUACAAGGUCUCGAGUAUCCAUCAAAACCCGACUUCGAUUCCCAAUAGUUUAAAAACACAAAGUCGCGUCUGAACGGCAAAAACAAGUGAUGCGUUGAGAGUUGCUAAGUUCACAAGCAAUGUUAGGGGUUGGAGCUGAUGCAGGUCUUUCCUCUUCAUCUCUUUGCAAAUUGCAGCCUCUCCUCUCACGUCUCACAACCUCUCUUCUCAGUUCUCUCAAGUUUUUGCAGGUCAAGUUUUUUGUCUCUUUUUUUCUUUUUUCCUCCCUAUUCUCUCUCCGUUUCUUCCAUUUGUUGGGGUUUUCCGCAGAUAUGCCUCCUGUUGCAACAUAGGAUUGCUUCCAUCAGUAGCAAGCAACAUCAAUGUCACAACCACUUUGACUUGGUUACUUUGAUUGAGUAAUGUCUUACUCUUAACAAUAUUGUUCUUUUCUUACUGGAUGCAGGUCAGCUAUGGUUAGACAUUACAUUAGAAUAAAGAAACUAGUACUGAAAACUCAAUUAAUUAAUACGGAAAAGUCAUCGAUGCUCGCUUUAAAACCAUUGGAUGCGGAUCCGCCAGUGCUUCCUCAUCCGUCGGUAGGUUAUUUUGUUUGUGUUGGUUAUUUAUAUAUCCAGUCAUUAUCGGGUUAAUCCGUGGUUUAAGCUUUGUCUUCGUUGUUAAACCGGUGAUUAAAAUAAAGCUGCUGAUUCUUACACUCUUUCCUAUACUCACAAAAGGCAAAACCCUAAUUUUCAUCUAGCUUCAAUCGGAGCCCGUGAGAAGAAGAUGCCUGCGAAGGAAGAUAGCUCGGAGAAGGAGAAGUCUCUAGAUCUCUUUCUAAAGAUCGGCUUAGACGAACGCACAGCUCGAAACACCAUCGCCAACAACAAAUUCACUACCAAUCUCACUGCUGUUAUCCACGAGGCCGGUGUUACCGACGGAUGCAGCCGAUCAAUUGGGAACCUUAUUUAUACGGUGAGUUACAUGUCUUCUGUUUUGCAUGCAACAAUAAGGAGCUGAAAUGCUUCAAGGUUUUGAGGAAACGAUAAUAAAUUAAUGGGUUUAACGUUGUUGUGUAGAUACUCAUACUGUAGCUCACUCAAGGAAUAGGUCUUCUAAGACAACUAGUGAUUUUGAUAGUCCCCGUUCUGUGUUUCUUGAACGGGCAUUUUUGUCAUAUUCUCGGAGGGGCACUAUCAACGGCUCGGUAUGGUUACUAUUUAUAUAUGUGGCUCUUUCUUGUAAUAAUUUCUUGUGUCUUGUUUUUUUGCAUACAGAAAACAAUUGCUUCUCCAGGACGUGGUAUUUUGGCCAUGGAUGAAUCCAAUGCUACAUGUGGAAAGCGGUUGGAUUCAAUUGGACUAGAGAAUACCGAAGCUAACCGUCAAGCAUGGCGUAAAAUUAUAUAUGAAGAAAGUGUUAUGACUUAGUUAAAAUAUAAUUUUUAUGUGUAUGAUUUUAUAAUACUUGAAAUAUUAUGACUGU